GAGUUUGAUCUUGGCUCAGAACGAACGCUGGCGGCAUGCCUAACACAUGCAAGUCGAACGGACCCUUCGGGGUUAGUGGCGCACGGGUGCGUAACGCGUGGGAAUCUGCCCUUGGGUACGGAAUAACUCCCCGAAAGGGGUGCUAAUACCGUAUGAUGUCGCGAGACCAAAGAUUUAUCGCCUGAGGAUGAGCCCGCGUUGGAUUAGCUAGUUGGUGAGGUAAAGGCUCACCAAGGCGACGAUCCAUAGCUGGUCUGAGAGGAUGAUCAGCCACACUGGGACUGAGACACGGCCCAGACUCCUACGGGAGGCAGCAGUGAGGAAUAUUCCACAAUGGGCGAAAGCCUGAUGGAGCGACGCCGCGUGCGGGAUGAAGCCCUUUAGGGUGUAAACCGCUUUUUUCGGGGAUGAUACGCAGGCGCAAGUCUGCUAAGACAGUACCCGAAGAAUAAGCAUCGGCUAACUACGUGCCAGCCGCCGCCGU
rnacentral:rRNA from 1 species